rnacentral:rRNA from 1 species
GACGAACGCUGGCGGCGUGCUUAACACAUGCAAGUCGAACGGAAAGGCCCUGCUUUUGUGGGGUUCUCGAGUGGCGAACGGGUGAGUAACACGCGUGUAACCUGCCCCUGUCUUUGGGAUAACUUCAGGAAACUGGGGCUCAUACCGGAUAGGAUCUUCUGCUGCAUGGUGGGGGUUGGAAAGUUUCGGCGGUUGGGGAUGGUCUCGCGGCUUAUCCGCUUGUUGGUGGGGUAGUUGCUUUCCAAGGCUUUGACGGGUAGCCCGCCUGGGAGGGUGACCGGCCACAUUGGUCCUGAGAGAGGGACCAGACUCCUACGGGAGGCAGCAGUGGGGAAUAUUGCACAAUGGGCGGAAGCCUGAUGCAGCAACGCCGCGUGCGGGAUAACGGGCUUCGGGGUGUAAACAGAUUUCGACUGUGACGAAGCGUGAGUGACGGUAAUGGGUAAAGAAGCACCGGCUAACUACGUG